GCUGCGGGCACUCAUUGAAGAAGGAACGAUGCCAGCAGAGAAUUGGUUCAGACAGAGGUGUCGGCCAUUGGGUCUUUUCAGUACCUAUGAGCAAGCACGCCAAAAGCUUGCCGUUGCAGAGGUCAGAUCAGACCUAUCCACUGAUCAAGAGCUUGGACGUGGGAAACGACGGCGCAUUGUUCGGAGCUUCAGUAGCUCAGAUGAAGACGACAUCAGUCUGCUUCCCAAGCCACCCACACCACCACCUUGUGUGAAACUCUCAUCACACAAGAAGCCAAUCUCGUCACACAAGAAGCCAGGCUCGUCACGAAGUAGCAAAGAUCUACCACAAACUCACCAGAGAGCAUUCUGCCCGCCAU